rnacentral:misc_RNA from 1 species
GAUGAAGAACGUAGCGAAAUGCGAUAAGUAAUGUGAAUUGCAGAAUUCAGUGAAUCAUCGAAUCUUUGAACGCACCUUGCGCUCUUUGGUAUUCCGAAGAGCAUGCCUGUUUGAGUGUCAUGAAAAUAUCAACCUUGACUUGGGUUUUGUGCUCUAGUCUCGGCUUGGAAUUGGGUGCUUGCCGCUUUUACGAGCGGCUCACCUUAAAUGUAUUAGCUGGAUCUGUCUUUGAGACUUGGUUUGACUUGGCGUAAUAAGUAUUUCGCUAAGGACAUUCUUCGGAGUGGCCUCGUUUCUAGGACGCUUGUCCGCUUUCCAAUAAGUUCCACCUCGUGGACAUGACUUUUUAUUAUCUGGCCUCAAAUCAGGUAGGACUACCCGCUGAACUUAAGCAUAUCAAUAAGCGGAGGA